rnacentral:lncRNA from 10 species
UGGGGUAAAUAGGCCUUUGGUAAUGUGACAUCGAUGAAGAAGAAAAUGUCAUGGUCAUGGGAUCAAACAAGUAUAUGACGACUUACUCAAGAGUUUUAAAAGAAGAAAUUGACGAAUUAACUAAAAAUCUAUGAGAACUUAGAAUAUAUUUGUCUACAUAAGACAAAAGUGAAGGCAAAAAUAGAAAAUAGCCAAUAAAUUGGAAACCUCAGUAAUUUUUAAAAAUAGUUCAAGAAAUAGAACACUUGAAGAAUUUAAUUUCAACACAGCAUUUCUCCAUGGAAUUAUAUCCUCUACAUGACUGUAUUCAUUGUACAGGUAAACCUACAUGUAACUGUGUGGAACUCUAUAAAGAAAACAAUAUUCUAUGUAUUUUAUGAUCACUUUGAAGAUAUUUUGAAGGAAUAAACUAUUUUCUGUUUUCUCAUCUGCUAGCCACCCAUUAAAGCAAUAACCCCAAUAUCCAAAUUCUUUUUAUAACUGGUCUUUCUCGGCCUCUUCUCUUUCAAAUCCUGAAUCUCUCUGCCCUUUA